rnacentral:lncRNA from 1 species
AAUGGCCACAUGCACCGAGGACACGGUACCAUCUGUUCCAGAAGCCCACGGAUUUGUUCUCCUCAACGUCAGGCACUGCAUGUCUAGGCUCUGCACAUACAGCAGAUCUUGCCGGGCUCUGCACCUGAGUCGGGGCUGGCUGAGGUCACCAGGAGACCUGCCCUGCACCUGCUCAGACUACCGCCUGUGGCUCCCUGAGCCUCUCCAAUGAUGGUGAGUGUGGCCUUCUUCCCAGGGAAAACUUUCUCAAAACAAGCCCUGCCCACAGAAGUUGGAAAAGACUGGCAUUUCCUGAGAAUCCCCUGGGAUCUGCUGGUGGGUCCGAGGACACUGGUAUCAGAGACUGAUGUGACCGUCAUUACCAGGCUGUGUGCACACAGACUUUUCUGCCUGAAUUUUGCAGGCCCCACGGACAGUAAUGACAAAUGCUAUGAUGGAAAAGAACUGGGAGAAGUGAACCUCACUUGGGAAAGAAAAAGGCUUCCUAAGAAAUUUCCACCAGGUCCCUCCUACUCCAGCAGACGAUGCCACUUGGGCGGAACCAAAACUGUCACCGGGGAAAUCUGUUUCCUGCUUCCUGACCACCACAUAUCUGCGCCUGUUCACAUCCUUCCUCCUGCACUGCUGCAGUGA